UCUCAUGUAUACUAGUUUCAUAGAAUGCGAAAGAGUGGUGGGAGGAACAAUUAGAGAACACAUCAGAAAGUUGUGUGAGUGGUUGGAGGGUUUGGAGCGAUAGGUUGUUUUUAAGGAUAUCAUAGUAUGUGGAUGGAUGAUAUAGAUGUAAUCUUAGGUGAGUUAAUUGUCGGGGUUCGCAGUAACUGUAAGAUUUGAAAAUAUAAUAUUAUAACUAAUAUUUUGAAAGGAAAUAAGGACACCUCAUCACCGACCCAAUGAAUAAAAGGACUCGGGGCAUUUAUCGGGGCACUCAUUGUAUACUUUCCAGACCACCGCCGAACGUGUGCCAGUCAGUGGCGGAUCUAUUAAGGGACCACCCGAAGCUCAGAAAAAUGACCGUGAGGAUCUUCAAGGACCACCCAAGUCUGGGCAGUGAUGGAGAAGAACAGCAGCCAUGGCUGCUCUAGUCGCUGUGCAUUUCAAAAUGAGGAAGAAGAAAGCCAAUUUUUUUUUUAAAAUGACUUAGCCAAAACGACGUCGUUCUGAGCCAAACCAUUAAAAAAAAAAUUAAAACCUCACUGCUCACUCACGUGAGAACCCUCAGACUCAGCUCCUUCACACAGCAAUCACAACUUCACUUUACCAAAUUGUUCAAUUCUCUUCGUUCUCAUUACCAAAUCCUUCACACAACAAGGUCCGCUCUCGUUCCUUACGGCGUUGGCAUCAAUCAACUCUCUUCUGCACUGCACUCUAGUUUCUGAAUCUGAAUCUGAUUGCCUGCACUGCACAACAAUCAGAACUUCACUCUCUUCUCGCUCUCGUUCCUUCAGAUUAAAAACAAAGAUGUGCGAAAUUUGGCAAACACUGAGUUUCUUCUAGUGAAGAAGGAUUGGUCUUCUAAAAUUCAGGGACUAUUUCAUAGAGUAUAGUGAGUUGAUCAAGCUGCAGCCUUUGGAAGGCGUAAACUAUAUAUUCUACAAUCUAUGCGUUUAUAUUGAGAAAGAUGUUUUUUCUUGUAUUGACAAUGAAACUAUCAUGACACGUUUUCAAAGUAUGAGAUCCCGUCGUGGACAAAUUUAGUAUUUCUAGCUUGUUUAGCACAAAGAUUAUGAAUGAAAUUUGUAGUUUGCCAUUUAUUUGUUCAAUGAUAUUUUCGUCUUGUUUUUUUUUUUU